rnacentral:rRNA from 1 species
GACGAACGCUGGCGGCGUGCUUAACACAUGCAAGUCGAACGGAAAGGCCCUGCUUUUGUGGGGUGCUCGAGUGGCGAACGGGUGAGCAACACGUGAGUAACCUGCCCUUGACUUUGGGAUAACUUCAGGAAACUGGGGCUAAUACCGGAUAGGAGCUCCUGCUGCAUGGUGGGGGUUGGAAAGUUUCGGCGGUUGGGGAUGGACUCGCGGCUUAUCAGCUUGUUGGUGGGGUAGUGGCUUAUCAAGGCUUUGCCGGGUAGCCGGCCUGAGAGGGUGACCGGCCACAUUGGGACUGAGAUACGGCCCAGACUCCUACGGGAGGCAGCAGUGGGGAAUAUUGCACAAUGGGCGGAAGCCUGAUGCAGCAACGCCGCGUGCGGGAUGACGGCCUUCGGGUUGUAAACCGCUUUCGCCUGUGACGAAGCGUGAGUGACGGUAAUGGGUAAAGAAGCACCGGCUAACUACGUG